rnacentral:rRNA from 1 species
CCUACGGGAGGCAGCAGUCGAGAAUCAUUCACAAUGGGGGAAACCCUGAUGGUGCGACGCCGCGUGGGGGAAUGAAGGUCUUCGGAUUGUAAACCCCUGUCAUGUGGGAGCAAAUUAAAAAGAUAGUACCACAAGAGGAAGAGACGGCUAACUCUGUGCCAGCAGCCGCGGUAAUACAGAGGUCUCAAGCGUUGUUCGGAAUCACUGGGCGUAAAGCGUGCGUAGGCUGUUUCGUAAGUCGUGUGUGAAAGGCGCGGGCUCAACCCGCGGAAGGCACAUGAUACUGGGAGACUAGAGGAAUGGAGGGGGAACCGGAAUUCUCGGUGUAGCAGGGAAAUGCGUAGAUAUCGAGAGGAACACUCGUGGCGAAGGCGGGUUCCUGGACAUUAACUGACGCUGAGGCACGAAGGCCAGGGGAGCGAAAGGGAUUAGAUACCCGAGUAGUC